GCUCCCACAGGAACAGAACAUUCCACAGGAACAGAACAGAUUUAGAUUUGACAGAAAUGUGACUGCCUAUCAGGAUGGAAAGGAAUGACACUGAGCUAGCUGUAUUGUGUGGGAAGCUGGGAACUGCUUUCAGAAGUUCUGAAGACUGCGAUCCACAGAGGCAGGGGAGGAAAGAAAACCCUAAGGCCACCUGCCACGCAGCUCGGGAGCAUUCGCCCCUCCCCCCACCCCCACUUCCUACCCACCCCUGGCCCAGUGCAGGGUGGUGAGCCCGGCUCAGCCCUUGCUGUCCUUGCAUGAUGAGUCACUGUGGGAGAUGCCUGCUGCAGAGCGAACCUUCCCAAGUGGCCUGAAGGAACAAUGAGGCUCCCAGGGAGUCACAGCCACGUUCUUGUGUCCUUGAUCUGUUCAGUCACACUUCAGGUCCCUGGAGGAUGUUUGUGUUGGCCUGGCACACCCAGCAUGAGGCUGAUUAAACAUGCUUCAUGAGCAUGCGUGUGCGCGCGGGCGCGUGGGCGCUCACACAGAGGUGUACUCAGCAGCCACAAGGUUUUAGGCACUUUGCCUGAGGUGUGUUUCUCAACAAUGACAGGUUAAAACAGAAGCCCUGGGAAUGACAGGACCUUCUGCACUGGUAAUAGUGGAUCAGAGCAGCUCAGUGUUUGCGUGGAAUGCACCUUAAAGCUUUCUAUGUAGCAGGUUCCCGUUCCUGCAUCUAUCCUGCAGAAGCUGGGUGACUUUCCUAGGGUGCGGCAGUAUCCCUGCAUUGCAAAGAAGCUGGUCGAGAAAACUUGAGAUUUUUCUUCCAAUCCUGAAAAUCCGUAAUUCUAAAUAGCCCCCUCGUAUUACAGUUGAAGAAUCAAAGACUCAGAAACGUUACUUUCCCACAGUACUUUGUAGAGAUGUGGGCAGAUGGUCUCUGGGGCCCAGAUACCUCCCUGAGUUAGCUGUAGGGACACUCAGACCCUGCUGCACACGCUAUGGGCUUUCUCCUGGACGCUUAUCCACGGGGUCGGGCUGCAUUCCGCCUGGCCAUGAGGGAACAGAUUAGUACAGGAAGUGCUAGAACAGCAACAGAGCCCACAGGAGACUGUAUCCUGGCUAGAAAUUCCAGAAACCAGGCUGGGCGUGGUAGCUCAUGCUUAUAAUCCUAGCACUUUGGGAGGUCGAGGUGGGUGGAUCACCUGAGGUCAGGCAUUGGAGACCAGCCUGGCCAACGUGGUGAAACCCUUCCUCACAAAGGGUGGGGACAUCAUUUUGCAUUCCCAGCUGCCGCUGCUGUUCCAGGUGAGUCUAACAGGAGAUGGGAUGGAGCGUGGAGCCCAGAGUAGGGAAAGGAAGGCCAGGCAAGGGGAGAGAGCUGCCAAGGCCUUCCAGCUCUUCUUUCCCCCCUUUUUUUAAUUAAAAAAAAAAGUUUUAAAUUUGGUUUUUAAUCAAUUUAUUUUUUUGAGAUGGAGACUCACUCUGUUGGCCAGGCUAGAGUGCUGUGGACAACUUCUCAGUUCACUGCAAGCUCCACCUCCCAGGUUCAAGCAAUUCUGCUUUAGCCUCCGGAGUAGCUGGGAUUACAGGUGCCUGCUACUAUGCCCGGCUAAUUUUUUGUAUAUUAGUAGAGACAGGGUUUCACCAUGUUGGCCAGGCUGGUCUCGAACUCCUGACCUCGUGAUCCACCUGCCUCGGCCUCCCAAAGCGCUGGGAUUACAGGUGUGAGCCACCGUACCUGGCCUCUUCUUUCCCCUUGAAGUCAGUUCUUCCCCUUGGAAGCUUCUAGAGAUAGAUAUAUAAAAUGCUCUCCCUGACAAAACAGUGGACCCAGAUCAUUUCUGGGGAGCAAAAGUGCUGAACCCACAAUAUUCAGGUGCCCCUGGGCUUGUUCCACCCCUGCUGCCCUUACUCUAGGAGAGGCACACCUGUGAGGAGCUGAUCUGAGUUCUGCAGUGAAGGAGGAAGCUGUCACUCUUCCCCUUUGCCCUCCCAGGAGCAGGGACCCUGGGGCAUCUGGGACCUGUCAGGCACAGGGACGGCUCUGGUAUUUCAUGGCAGCACAAUGCCCUGCAUGCCUGAAAUUCUGACACGUCCACUCCACCAGCCUUCUGUGGCUGUCCCUGUGACCUGGAGACUGUCCUCGGCCUCUUCAAGCCUGUAGCCUCCACAAGCAGUACUCAGCCCAGCAGGGCCUAGAAGAAUGGGGAACUGGGGGCUGAGUGCUGGGAAAGGAACCUGGGUGGAAAUUUCCAUGACUCUUCUGCUCAAGCAAGGCUGCAGCAACAUGUCAGCAGAGACGGGGCCCAGCUCACAAAGGAUCACUGUUUCUCUCUCUGGGCUCUUUAUCAACUAUUGCCCCACCCCGAGCCAGGGCCGUAAACCUCCUCAGUCCAGCCUCCUCUGUUCCUGCCCCCCCGCCCCCCCACCGCUGUUUGUGGCCACAGAUCCCUACUUUCCCUUCUUGCACUUAUCUCUCUCCAUUGCUCCCACACUCCUGGCACUGGAAGUCCCCCAACUUCAGGAGCAAGGUCAAGACCCCUUUCCUUCCCCAUUGAACGGUCAGGAACCUGCUGGAAGCUGUUCUGAACCAGAGAAGGACGAAAAUAGCUGCCAAAGAUGUUGCCAUAGCAACUGCUUUCCUUCCUGACCUCCUUGGAAGUUAGUAGUUGACUCUGUAGUUGAAGUACUUUUCUGAAGGUGGAAGAAGGUGUCAGCCAUUUUACAUUGACCUAACUCUUCUUUUGAAGGUGAACUCCCUCAUUUUCCUAAGUAGUCAAGGAAUUCCUGUGCCUCUACCCACGGCUUUGGUUACCAACCCACCCCUGGGGGCCUUGGUUUCUUUCUGUGAAAUGGGAUAUUCAUUCCAGCACUCACUACCUUCUAGGCUGGAGUAAGGCUCCAACUUUGCAAAAGCACCUAGUAAACCGCAAAGCUCCAUGCACAUCCAACGGCCAGUACUUGACAACACCGAUACUCCCUAGGGCUAAUGGCUCUGUAAAGUGGAGGAUGGGGCAGCUGACUUGUUCAACAAGCCCAGAGCCCCAGGACAGGGGGCCCCUUUGGAGUUUGAUUCCUGUUCUGUCACCAAAAGCCCCUGGGGACCUUCAGCAGGUCAUGCAGGCCCCCAAGGACUUGUCUUCUCCUUCUGUGAAAGGACCCUCUCUAGUUAUCUCAAGAGGCCCUGGGGCCAGGCAUGGUGGCCGAGUAGUGAGAAUUUGAGACCAGACUGACCAACAUGGCGAAACCCCAUCCCUACUAAAAAUACAAAAACUAGCUGAGUGUGGUGCUUCGCGCCUGUAGUACCAGCUACUCAGGAGGCUGAGGCAGGGGAAUCACUUGAACCCGAGAGGCAGAGGUUGCAGUGAGCCGAGAUCAUGCUACUGCACUCCAACCUGGACAACAGAGCGAGCAAGACUCCGUCUCAAAAUAAAGAGGCCCCUGGCUGGGCUCAGUGGCUCACACCUGUAAUAGCAGCACUUUGGGGGGCUGAGGCAGGUGGAUCAUCUGAGGUCGGGAGUUCGAGACCAGCCUGACCAACAUGGAGAAACCCCAUCUCCACUAAAAAUACAAAAUUAGCCAGAUGUGGUGGCACAUGCCUGUAAUCCCAGCUACUCGGGAGGCUGAGGCAAGAGAAUCACUUGAACCCGGGCGGUGGAAGUUGCAGUGAGCUGAGAUUGCGGCACUGCACUCCAGCCUGGGCAAAGAGAACAAAAUUCCAUCUCAAAAAAAAAGGAGGCCCCUUCCAGCCCUAUUCCACGACCCUAAGUUAAAGGCCGGCCUGCUUUCCAUAACAAAUCUGCGAACUUCUCAAGUACUUUCUACAUGGCAGGCACUGUGGGCACAUGCAUUCGCUCACUUUUCACAGAAGACAGCUGUUGUGAUUACAGCACCUACCCAUUUUACAGAUGAGGAAAUGGAGGCCCAGAGAAGUUAAGUAAAUUUUCCCAAGGUUGCACAGCCACUAAGUAGCAAGGUCAAGACUUAAAGCCUGGUUAGUCCACACAGCUGCCUUUCUAGGUACUGCAAUGAUGAUGGAAACAACAUGGGUCAGUUCAUAGCAGGUAAAACGUGGAGUGGAGCAAACCCUGGGCGAGGCACCAGCAACCCUGGGUUCUUCCAGCAAGUUGCUCUUCCUCUUUUGGCCUCAGUUUCCUCGUCUGUAAAAAUAAGAGGUUAACCUAGAUCUCUGAGGGCCUUUCUAUGCUAAACACUCUCAGUCUUUGAGAGAAACCAGCCCAGAGAAGACAAGCGCCAGCUUGCCUGAGUCACAGAGCGAUCAAGCACAGCCUUACGGGCUACCCACUAGCUUUGAUCUCAACCUUUGAAACAAACAAGGUUUAGGAAGAGUUGUUUGAAGCUAGGGCCUGUGAACCAGAACCAGUUUGUGGGAGUGUCUGCUGUGACUUUUCCAGAAAACUAACUACAUCCCAUUUUAAGAGGGUCCUUUAUUCAGAGAUUAAGCCUGUGAAAAGAAAUAAAUCUUGGAAUUCCAAAAUCACUAAGCCAAGGGAAAAGUCGAGCUGGACUAUGUCAAGCAAAUCUCGGUCCCAUUUACCCCUCGGUAAGAUAGCUACAAAGAUAAGAAAGCUACAGACCGCCCUCAUGAUUUGCCCCCAAGGAAAUUUCUUGUGGACAAAGGACAGACAGAAUUCAAAGUCUUCUCACGAGACUGAUGCAUAUCUGACUGCUUCCCCUGCUCUCUUAUUUCACUAUGCCAGACUAAGGCAUGAGUGACUAUUCCUCAGCCUGCCUCUCAAAAGUAAAUUGCAUAUUCAGUGAAAGGCUAAUCAGAAACUCAAAAGAAGGCCUGGCUGGAUGGCUCACGCCUGUAAUCCCAGCACUUUGGGAGGCUAAGGUGGGUGGAUCAAGAGGUCAGGAGAUCCAGACCAUCCUGGCUAAAACGGUGAAACCCUGUCUCUACUAAAAUAAGAAAUUAACCAGGCAUGGUGGCAGGUGCCUGUAAGCCCAGCUACUCAGGAGGCUGAGGCAGGAGAAUUGCUUGAACCCAGGCGGUGGAUGUUACAGUGAGCCAAGAUCACAGCACUGCACUUCAGCCUGGGUGACAGAACAAAACUCUUUCUCAAAAGAAAAAAGGCCAGGCGCGGUGGCUCAUGCCUGUAAUCCCAGCACUUUGGGAGGCUGAGGUGGGUGGAUCACGAGGUCAAGAAAUUGAGACCAUCCUGGUCAACAAGGUGAAACUCUGUCUCUACUGAAAAUACAAAAAAUUAGCUGGGCAUGGUGGCGCGUGCCUGUAAUCCCAGCUACUCAGGAGGCUGAGGCAGGAGAAUUGCCUGAACCCAGGAGGCGGAGGUUGCAGUGAGCUGAGAUCGCCCCAUUGCACUCCAGCCUGGCUAACAAGAGCGAAACUCCGUCUCAAAAAAAAAAAAAAGAAAAAGAAAAACUCAAAAGAGUGCAACUGUUUGUCUCUUAUCAACCUACCUGGAAGCCCUGUCGUCAUCUCAAGUUGUCCCACCUUUCUGGACCAAACCAAUGCACCGUCUUAAACAUACUGAUUGAUGUCUCACGUUUCCCUAAAGUGUAUAAAACUGAGCUGUUUCCCGACCACCUUGGGCACAUGUCAUCUAGACUUCCUGAGGCUGUGUCAUGGGUGUGUCCUUAACCUUGGCAAAAUAAACUUUCAAAAUUGGUUGA